CCUCGCUCAACCCGGCCGCCUCACCUGUUCUAUGGACGUGACUGUUUCCACCGAGUCGUCCUGCAACCGCUCCCGCGCGUGCUCCGGCCUCAGACUGUACAGCGGCUCUGACCACACAGGUGCACCUAAAGCAAUUGCAAAUUGUAUUUGAGAAUAGAAAUCCGUUUCUGAAAUGCAGUCUCCUCUACAAUAGGAUCCGAAAGGGACAUGGCAAGAGUCUCCUGCAGGAUGCUGUCUAUUCAUUCAAUAGGUAUUUAUUGAGUACCCAUUAUGUGCUGGGCACUGAGUUAAGUGCUGAGGAGACAGUGGUGAAAAAGCCAGACACAGUCUCAACCCUUACAGGGCUCAUGAUUUACCAGAAGAAACAGACAUUAAACAAUUGUUACAAAAUUGACCAUUUCAUUACAGUUGGGGGAAAUGGCAUGAGGGGGAAAAGAAGCAUAGGCCAUUGUGAGAUUGUGUAACAGGGGAAACUUACUACGGUAGCCUGGAAGAUCAGGAAAGACUCACAUGAGGAACUGAAUUAAUGAAGGCAGGGUAAGGGGACACCCCAGGCAGAGAAAAUUCAGUGACAACCAAAAAAAUCAAGUGAAACAUAGAAUGAAAAAUAUGAGGAGUUUGUACUCUACAUAGCCCUGAGAGGACUCUUCAGCCUUGGAUCAGCAAUGGCCCACCAGUUAUCCUUCCUCUAGGUUUGAUAAAACCACUGAUUCAAGAAGCAGAAUGAACAUAAAUACUGGCAGUAUGGCAAAGGAUGAUGUACUUAGAGGAGAAAAUAAUGAUAAUUAAUAGCAACUCCAGCUUGGAAUACAGAUGGUUUGUGUUUAUUUUACUCAAAUGCCUGAUCUCUUUCUAAAUUAAGCUGUGAAUUGUAGUUGUUUCUUUAAAAAUAAUAUAAAAUGUUGAUAGUACUGUUUUGUAUUUUCAAGAGCAAGAAAACAAGAGAAAAAAAAUAAUGACCUAAAUGAACCACUAGAGGUCGCUCCUGACCCUAGAGGAAGCUUCUCCAGUAGGCUUCAAAACUGCUCUCACUGCAUUAGUCACAGAACCCCGUAUGUCGGCAUGAAUUGUUUCUUUUAAUAUAAUAUCUUGUGAAAGUAUGUGAUCAUACACAUCUUGGAAAGAUUAGAAAAUGGAAAUAACUGAUCCAUUAUCCUGCUAGAUUAUUCGAUUUUCUCUCCACAUUUCCUCCUCUACCAGCAUUUGUGACCUCUUAUUCUGUCCUCCCUGGUCCUCCUGUUUCCCUGGACAGAAUGACUGCCCAGCUCUUUCCUACAUAGGGCCAGCCCCCCCACCUCUCCUCAUGUGCAGCCCCGCCCCUCAUGCCCUACCCCAGGAUGUCACUCCAGCAGUUCUCCCUUGCCUCUCUUAAAACAUCAUAUCCCUGUACUUGAUUAUGUCCAUCACCCUCAAACAGGCUACUUCUCCAUUUUGGGGGAGGGAGGGGGAGAUAUUUUUAACCCUUUUGCUUCCACCCUCCUUCAGCUACCUUCCUAUUACUCAUUUCCUCCCUACCAAUGUCUCUAAUUCCUCUUCUCCAAGUACCUCUUGAACCCAUUCCCAUAGGACUUCCCCAGCAACUCUUGUCAAGUCCCAGUUAAACUCCAUGUUGUUAAAUCCAAGGGCCAGUUCUCAGUCCUUAUCUGUCUUCCUGCUUGACUUCCUAGCAAUAUCUGUUAUUAACAUUCCCUUCUCACCGAAAUAUUUUCUUUUCUGUAAUGUCUAGCACUAGCCUUUGCUACUGCUUCAUCUUCCUGACACCUUAACUUUGGAGCACCCCAGGGCUCUGUCUACACUCAUCUCCUGUGAACUCGAUUAGUCUCAAUGUUUUAAAUACCACCAUUGGGUUGAAAAUUGCCUCAUUUAUAUCUCCAGCCUGGAUCUCUCUCCUGAAGUCUGAGUUCAUAUCUAAUAUCCUGUUUUCAUUUUCACUUACAUAGCUAACAAGCAUCUCAAAUAGUAUGUCCGCAACAGAGCCUUCUGGCCUUCCCUUCCAAACCUACGCACUCAGUCUUCCCCAUCUCAGUUAUGCUAACUUCAUGCCUCCGCUUGGAGUCCAUUCUUGAUGCCUCUCUUUCUCUCACUCCCCAUAAAUCCUGUUGACGAUAUAUCCAGAAUCUGACCACUGCUUACCGAUUCCAUUGCUAGUGCCUCGGUCCAAACCAGGUUACUGUUACGUGGAUUCUUACACUCAUCUCUUAACUCCUCAUUUUCCUUGUUUGUGCUCUUGCCCCCCAUGCAGCCGAGUACAAACUCAAAAGCCAGACUAAACCUUUUCAAUAUAAGCAAAGUUACCCUUUUGCUCAAAGCUUUCUUCUCAUCUCACUCAGAGUCAACAUCAGGGUCCUUAACCAUGGCCUAAAGGGCCCUAAUGAGCUGGCCUUUUCUCCUUGUACUCUCCUACUUGCUCACUCUGUCCCCUGCAGGGGCCGCCUUCCUUUCUUUGUACACUCCAGGCACAUGCCAGCCUCAGAGCGCUUAUGCUCACUAUUCCCUCUCUGUAGUGCUCUGCCCCCAGGUAUGGACGAGGCUUGUCUGCCCACAUCUUAUAGUCUUUACUCAAAUUCUUUACUUAAAUUCCUUUAACUUCAGGCCUUUCCUGACCUCCACAUAUAAAUUGAAAUGCCAUCAUCCUGCACUAAUACUGUCUUUAUUUUUCUCCAUAGCACUUUAUCACCAGCUGACAGACCUUAUGUUUAAUGCAUUUAUUUUAUUUACCAGAAUAAAAGCUCUCAAGGCAGA